rnacentral:rRNA from 1 species
AGCAAAGGAAUUUAGUUUGACCGCCCGAAACUAAGCGAGCUACUUCAAAACAGCCUUAUAGGGCCAACCCGUCUCUGUUGCAAAAGAGUGGGAAGAUUUUCAAGUAGAGGUGAUAAACCUACCGAGCUUAGAGAUAGCUGGUUAUUCAAGAAAAGGAUCUAAGUCCUACCUUAAAUCAAUACAGUAACAAUAAAUACAUUAACAGAUUUAAGAGCUAUUCAAAUAAGGUACAGCCUAUUUGAAACAGGAUACAACCUAAACAACAGGGUAAUGAAAUCAAAUACGUAACUAAGUGGGCCUAAGAGCAGCCAUCUUUUAAAAAGCGUUAAAGCUUAAUUACUUAUUUAUAUUAAUUCCACUAACCAAUCAAAACCCUUAUCCAGUAUUGAAUGAUUCCAUAACCAUAUGGAAAACCGUAUGCUAGAACUAGUAAUAAGAAGAAGACCUUCUCCAAAAUACAAGUGUGAGCCGAAAUGAACAACUCAUCGGCACUUAACGUAAAUGAACCCAAAGUAGUAACAAAACAAGAAAAUUCUACUACACAAUACGUCAACCUUACACUAGAGUAUUACUGGAAAGAUUAAAAGAAAGGGAAGGAACUCGGCAAAUCAUCAACCCCGCCUGUUUACCAAAAACAUCGCCUCUUGACAAAAUAUAAGAGGUCCAGCCUGCCCAGUGACAAAGUUAAACGGCCGCGGUACCCUAACCGUGCGAAGGUAGCGCAAUCACUUGUUCUUUAAAUGAGGACUAGUAUGAAUGGCAUCACGAGGGUUGCACUGUCUCCCCUUUUUAAUCAAUGAAACUGACCCCCCCCGUGAAGAGGCGGGGAUAUAACUAUAAGACGAGAAGACCCCAUGGAGCUUUAAACUCAGUAUCAACCGCCUAACAACACAUCAUUACAAUUUGGCAGAUCUGAUUACUAGUUUUCGGUUGGGGUGACCGCGGAGUAAAACAAAACCUCCACGAUGAAAGGACCUAUACUCCUAAUCAUAGAGCCACAGCUCAAAGAAUCAAAAAACUGACAUAAAUUGAUCCAAUUAAUUUGAUCAACGAACCAAGUUACCCUGGGGAUAACAGCGCAAUCCACUUCAAGAGCCCCUAUCGACAAGUGGGUUUACGACCUCGAUGUUGGAUCAGGGUAUCCCAGUGGUGCAGCCGCUACUCAAGUCCUC